rnacentral:rRNA from 1 species
UGGGGAAUAUUGGACAAUGGGGGAAACCCUGAUCCAGCAAUGCCGCGUGUGUGAAGAAGGCCUUCGGGUUGUAAAGCACUUUGGCCCAGGAGGAAGUGCGAUUGUUUAAGAGACGAUUGUAUUGACUGUACUGGGAGAACAAGCACCGGCUAACUCUGUGCCAGCAGCCGCGGUAAUACAGAGGGUGCGAGCGUUAAUCGGAGUUACUGGGCGUAAAGGGCGCGUAGGCGGUAGUUUAAGAUUGGUGUGAAAGCCCUGGGCUCAACCUAGGAAGUGCGCCAAUGACUGGACUGCUAGAGUACUGUAGAGGGUGGCGGAAUUUCCGGUGUAGCGGUGAAAUGCGUAGAGAUCGGAAAGAACACCAGUGGCGAAGGCGGCCACCUGGACAGAUACUGACGCUGGGGCGCGAGAGCGUGGGGAGCAAACAGGAUUAGAUACCCGCGUAGUCC